rnacentral:lncRNA from 1 species
UAUUUUUUCACCGAUUGGUUCAUCAUAUAUGAGAUAAACUGAUGUCUUCAUCACAAUGAAACUGUUUCCAAAAACAACAACAAUCUCCACUUUGUCACCAGGUUCCAUAUUUGAUACCACUCUCUUCCAUUCCUCAUUUUCUAAGGAGGAUAACGCCUCUCUCUUAUAGAGUUGAAUGGUGGUCUUUGUGUGAUUUAUCACCAACACAUUUUGAAGGCCAACUGAUGCUAUGCCAUUUGGGCUUGAUGAAUAGACAAUGCACAUCAUUGUCUUCAAGCUACGUCCUUCCACUUGAGGGACUUCAAAAACAACAGAAUAACCUUUGGAGUUGAAACUUAACCAAUUUGGGUAAUUAUCACAGGGGAGCAAAACACUACCACCCCCGUCGACAGUCAAAUUCUGUAAAAAAGUGGAAAUAAACACUAAUAUCACAAUCAUUUAACAAUGAUAUAAUACUCCUCAUAAGAUAAUUAUUCGUAUUUUGAUCAGUAAAAAUUAAAACAAUGAUAUUUGGACACCCCAAUUUUCCAAACACUCAUUUAACACUUCAUUUUCUCUUUAUCUCUCUUCCUAUCACAUCACCAACAUAUCAAAUCUAUCACAUCACUCUUGUUAUUUCUCUCUGUCUCUCUCGCUUAAGGUGUUUAGGUGUCUACCAAACAUUUUCCUAAAAAUUAAAAUUAUUUGACUACCUAAAAAAAAUUUGAAGUAAUGAUAGGAAAAAUCAUUGCUGGUUUUAUAAGAAUUUCUCUUUUCUAAUAUUGGUUAUAUAAAAAAUAUAACUAUCAGAAACAUGCAAGAGAGAGAGAGCGAAACCUGUAAGAUCCUCUCUUUGAGAAUAUUGGAGAUUAGGCAACUCGUUCCCAUUUGAAUUAGAAGAGAUUUCAUGCAAUUUUUUGUUGCUGAAUCUUGCAUUUGAUCACAACAUUCCAUUAAUGAACAAGUCUUCACAUUGGAUACUUGUGACGUAGUUGCAAUUGAUUCCAAUCCCUUGGAAUUUGUUGAACUUAAAGCAUUCAAAAUUCUUGUUGUGUCCUGUGAAAGUUGAAGUUCUGAUCCACACUCCAACCAAAGGCACUGAAGUUUUGGAAGGACACUGAAAAUAGACGAUAGAUCAUGGGAAAUACUAUUUGAUGCAUGCAAAGAAACAAGGGAUGACAUUCCGACAGCUGUUUGAACAGCGGGUGGGAGAUUAUUUGUUGGUAACAUCCAAGACGAAAUGAUAGAAGGAAACACAUCACGAGAGAAUCCUUCAUAUCCACACAGAGAAAUAAAUCCAAUGCUUUUUGACCUUACUACCGAAAAGGGCACUUUUGUUAUAGCAGUAUUAUUUGCAAUCAGAGUGGUUAAAGAUUCCAUUUGUUCCAACUCCUCUUCCAACUUGUCAAUCAUUAAACAUCCCGAUAGAAUGAGAGUUUUCAGAGAUUUCAACGAAUAAAUGUUUCUUGGAAGGUUAGAAAGGCUAGUACAAUCUUUCAAAUUUAUCAAAAGAACUUUCUUAAGAUGUCCAAUUGUAUGGGAUACCUCAGACAGCCUUGGACAAUCUUUGAGUACCAGCUUUUCAAGGUUAGGCAAGUAUGAAAAGUCAGGGGUCUGUGUCAGAUAAUGAGAAUGACUAAGAUUGAGAAUUUUCAGCUGCUCCAUUCUCUGCAAGAACAGAAAUAUUAUAGAGAACUUGCGGAUAAAGCAUAAAAAGAGAAGUACAAGCACGUACGACGUGUCGCCAACCUUGAGAGUGGUAAUAAAAUAUUUGUGUGAGUGCAUAGCCAUUUUUUUAAUACCAACAUACGUUAGUUUAGUAUUACUUUUUGCUCAAAAUAUUCGGGUGCCAGCAUUCUGCUGUGAAUUUUAAAAUUCAGCAUAAUAGAUAGGUUUGAAAUUCCUCUGGUUUCUUUUAUUUACUGUGUUGAUUUAUGGACUGUUAUGUGAAUUUUGUUUGUACUUAUAUACAUUGUAACUAAAUUCAUAGUUAGGGCUAUGAUGGAUCUUUUGUAUUAUAAUCAAAUUAUUCAUAGUUUUCAACUGUUUUGUCCUUUGUUCUUCACAACCAAAGUCUUAAAACACAGACAAUAGGCAGUCUAGUAAUACAUUGUAACUCACUGUCAGAUAAUUAGUUCCUGAAUAUAUCAACAUUUAAAACAAAUCCACAAAUGUCUCUUUUACUAGUCAUUUUAGUCCUCAAAUGUGUUUUUUGUUGGUCAAUUUAGUCCAUGAAAUUACUAACAAAAGAGGCACUAAGGAUGUAUUUGUAAUAUCGAUACAAUUAGAGACAGUGCCUCACACAUUAAGGCAACAAAGUGGCUAUUUGCUCUUACAAUUUAAACCAUUGGAUACGCUAACUAGGACUCCAAUCCUUCUAUUACUAUUGCGAACGGGACACACUUGACCAAAAGUGCACUCUGGACGCAACACUUGAAUAGAAUUCAUAAAUAUGAAAAGUGAAAACAACUCAAAAUACAAAAAACAAAACUCCAAAGUAAUACCUGCAUCUCUUUCCACACAAGUUUGACAUUGCUAUUUUCUAACUCAAUGGAAACAAUAUUUCUUUGAUAGAAGUUUGAAGGUAUGCAUGUUAAAGGAAAUCCAUUCCAGUGUAGCCAUCUCAAUUGUUUUGAAAGAUAUUUAAAAUCUCCAUCAAGUUGUGCACCAGAAAGUUGAAGCAAUCUGAGUUUCUUCAUCUUCUUAAAUGCUUCGGUGCUAAAACGUUGUGCACUACGUCCUGGCAGCUUCAAAGUCAGUCCCUCAACAGCUUUUGUUCCCUAUAUAUGAAAUAUAAUGGACCAAAAGUAAAACAUGCUACACAGCCAGGAAGCACAAUAAUAUGUGUAAAACUAAAAGAUAGUAGGCAGAUAAAAAAUUUGUAAUGAAACCAAUCAUUUUUACUAGCUCAAAUGAUUGUUGACUAGUAACUCAAAUGUGUUUUGCUUCUUUAAGUUUGAGAUUUCUAAAUCGAGAAUUUCUUAUUUAACCAAAAACAGAUAUUUUAAAUCAAGAAUUUAAAACAAAGUAUAUGAAAUUCUUACCGUAUGUUCUGACAAUAUAUCAAUCACAUCCUCAUGAUACCACAACCUACUACGUUCCUCAGGCUCCAUUGGUGAUUUCUCACGAAUGAUUUCUCUUCCCAUAUCUCGCAGCAAAUCAUGCAUGCCAAGCUUGUUCUUAUCAUCAACUGUUACAAGGCUUCGUUCAACAAGGACACUUAUUCCAAUUUCAGCGAAAAGUCCACAGCCAUUUAAAAUAAGAAUAACAUCAUUUCGGUCCAUCCCAAUUAAGAAACAAGCUAUGUCAAGGAAUAUUGAUUUUUCUGUAUCAUUUAAACCAUCAUAGCUUAUUUUUAACUUCUUAUGUACUUGAUCAUUGGGAAUUCUUUUGAGUUUCUCCAAUACACAAAUCCACUCUGAUACCUCCCUAUCAAACAAAUAGGAUCCAAGGACUUCAAGAGCUAGUGGCAAUCCCCCAGAAUAUUUAACUACAUUUCUAGAAAUUUCAGAAUAAUCAUCUCUAGGACUCGUUUGCUUGAAAGCAUGCCAACUAAAAAGUUCAAGAGAUUCACUUUCAUCCAUUUCUUUCAUUAUGUAUAUUUUGUCAACUCUAUCCCCUCGAAGUAUAUGCUUAUCCCUGGUCGUGAUGAUUAUUCUACUCCCUGGAGCAAACCAUUUACAACUUCCACACAAAGCAUUGAGUUGGUCCAAUUUAUUCACAUCGUCAAGUACAAGAAGAACUCUUUUAUGACAAAGUCGUUCCUUUAAUAUAGAUUUCCCUGAUUCAAUAUUUUGAAUCUUGGUUGUGGUUUCUUUGAAAAUAUCAUACAUAAGUUGUUCUUGUAAAUACACUUGUCCAGAAACUUGCUCCCAAACCUCCCUUAUAUUUGCAAGAAAGCUCCUACCUUCAAAAUUCCGGCCAAUUUUAUUGUAAAUGGCUUUUGCAAUGGUGGUUUUACCAAUUCCACCCAUCCCCCACAUCCCCAGCAGUAGAACAUCAUUUGACUGUUGAGUGUCUAGAAGUUGAAUCAUAUCUUGCACUCGAGAUUCGACUCCGACAGGAUUAUCAGCAAUGAACAAGUCUGUCUUGUCAAGCAAAUUUGUAACAUUUUCAACAAUAUCCUUGAUAACCUCACAUUCGUUCCUAUGAAAAUACAAAGAAAUGGUAAAUUUGCAUAUUCAAAGCCGUUAAAAAAAGAAAAAAAAUGCACAUCCAUACAUAUGUCUAUAUGUAAGUACAAGUAAUUACCUAUGUAUGUGUGUAUAUGUGUCACGAGUAGAGGGCAAAACUUCAAUUAGAUUGAAAGUGAUGACCAAAGAAGAAAAUCGUACAUACAAUUAUCAUUUUGUAAAUUGACAAUGUGGCAAGAAAAAGAAGAUUUAAAUUAAAAAGGUAGGAUUCUCUAUUAUGUUGCUUCUUAAGCAAACAAGAAAUGGUUAUUCCACAUGCAGAAGAGAGUAUAUAUGCAAAAUGAGUUCACUUUAGAAGGCAAAGAAAAAAUACUAAGAAAUUAAAUAAAACAAAUGGUCAAAAGAGUACGAAUGUGAGUGAAAACAAACAUGAUGAAAAAAGCAAUAACUUGCUGGAUUAAGAAGGACCAGUUACUAGAUCCCAAUAAAACCAAUCAUUUAGAAGGUUUACACCAAAAAGAAUUGCAAUGUAACAUUCUAAACUGCUUUCAGGAUUGCCGACUGACCCCACAAACCAACACGAGUCUUUUCAGCGUGUUUUGUCCUCACUCACACGCUUACCGGGAAACUUCCCGAUAGCUCACCCAUCCCAAAAUUGCUCCAAGCCAAUCAUGCUUAACUGUGGAGUUCUUAUGGAACUGUGGAGUUCUUAUGGAAUGAGCUACCGAAAAGAAGAUGCAUCUUGUUGAUAUAGGUAGUACCAAACAAUUCUUAUAAGUCUUCCUUCAACUAUGUAGUCCCAUACCUACAUGGCCUCAGGAUCCCUCUCAUUCCGAUGUGAUUCGGUUCCUCUUAGAAGUUGUCGGGAGCCGCUCAUUGUCGUGCCUUGUGCACCGGCGACCACUCCCCGCCCUCGUCAGUCUUGGGUGUUACAUGUCCACCAGCUUCCGCUUGGUUCGUCCCCGAAAUACACCGUACUGGGAGAGGUCGGCUCUUAUACCAUUUGUAACAUCCCAGACUGCUUUCAAGAUUGCCGACCCACAAACCAACACGAGUCUUUUCAGCGUGUUUUGUCCUCACUCACACGCUUACCGGAAAACUUUUCGGUAGGUCACCCAUCCCAAAAUUGCUCUAAGCCAAGCACGCUUAACUCUGAAGUUCUUAUGGAAUUGGCUACCGAAAAGAAGAUGCAUCUUGUUGAUAUAGGUAGUACCAAACAAUUCUUAUAAGCCUUCCUUCAACCAUAUAGUCUCAUGCCUACAUGGCCUCAGGAUCCCUCUCAUUCCGAUGUGAUUCGAUUCCUCUUAGAAGCUGUUGGGAGCCGCUCAUUGUCGUGCCUUGUGCACCGGCGACCACUCCUCGCCCUCGUCAGCCUUGGGUGUUACAUGCAAGACCUAAGAGACAACCAUGUAAGACUAGUUACUGGCAGUAACUUCGAGAAAGCAGACUAAAGAAACUCUGUAUUGGGCACUAUAGGAGGACUACCGUGUACGAUAGCUAUUUUGAGAGUGGAGAGUUAGCUAUAAUUCUAUCUAAUUAACCAUUAUAGUAUAGGAAAAUAGUUAUGUGUCAAGUGUGUGUAAAAGCACAAAAAUAUUCCCAGUAGGAGUUUUAGGCUUUGGAUCUGAUCUUAAAGAUUGUUGCUUUGAAUUCAACAUAAUUUCCCUUUUAAUUCAGAACUGAUGUUCUAUCAUUUCGUUUGACCUGCUAAGUCGAAAAGACGGAAUUUAGAUGCAAGAGUUUGUGUUGUUUAGCCAUGACUCAUGUGAAAGAUUGCAUGGAGUCAUGGACCAAAGGUUAGGCAAGAGUUCAAUUGGCAAACAGAGUCAAUGGAUCGAUGUUUGUUCCACCCGCAUCAGUCCACACUUUAUGUCUUAGUCCUAAGCAUGAGGGUCUGGAUGGCCUAUGUAGUGCUAAUAUGGUUUGCAUAGUCCUAACCAUACAAGUCAACCCCACAAAACGGGCUUGGUAGAAAGACAUGAUACACGAUGUAUGAUACAAAUGUUCAAACAAUAGGCGGAAAGAAAUGGACAAAAUCAUAUCAAAUAAGUGCUGAGACAAAUCUCAUGCAUAGCUCUCAACAAUGAAUUUGAAUGUACUGAUUAGAAAGUUUGUUAAAAACACUAGGACGAUAUAUAAUUAAUUGUAUUUGAACUAGUAGCAAUGCACAUUAUAAAUCCCGAAUAAAACAAUUGAUUUAGACCCUCUUUAGGUAAACAACUUAUUUUGCAGGUUAUCGCAUAAGCGUUUAUAAUAGGCUUAUUUGAUCCAAUGGUUCCUCAAAUAAUUUCAAGUUUUCAUUUUGGUCCCACAAUUAAUAAAAUGUACAUUUUGGUCCCUUACUUUUUUCUCCGUUUGCCAAAUAAAUCCCGACCGUUAACUUAUAUAAGCAGUAAGUUGUUUUCAGCUUAUUAUGAACAUUUAAUAAAAUCUCCCAAAUAGUGUCACAAGUACUUAUGCCAGUAGAUAAGCUCGUGAUAUUAUAUGUUGAACACUUUCCUUAAUACGAUUUUUUAUGGAGGUCCUAUAUAAAGAGACAGAUGGAUUCAGACAUAAGGAUUUAUGUCUAAGAUAAGAUGGAUCAGUUCAAAAUAAUGAAGAAAGCAUUCAAAAUGCAUGGAAGAAGCAACUAACCUGUAAUUUGGGACAACAAAUCCUGCAAUGCCAGCCACGUCAUGAAGCGCAUCUAUCCACUUCAGCGAUGCGCCGUGUCCUUCUACAUUAUUAUUCGAAAGAUGUUGAAACGAUUGACCAAACUCACGAGAUUGACGACGAACAUCAGACGGAUAAACAUCGUAGAACACAGGCAGUACCACCUGUCCAGUGGUUCUGUAACACUCCAGUAUUUGAAUCAACUCCUGCAUACACCACGGUGAAUCCGCGUAGUUUUUGGAGAAUACAAUAAUAGAAAUUCUAGAACCUUCUUUCCUCGCUGUAGUGACAUUGAGAUGGACAAACCUCUUGGAACGGAAUGAUCGUCUUUGAAGACGAUAAUUCCGGCAUUUUGAAGAGAAGAAGUGAGAUGUGAAAUGAAUGAUGCACUGAGUAUCAUCACCUCUGAAACUUAAGAACACUUCGUACUCUCUUCUUUCUUUGGGACUAUCAAGCAGCUCGUUCAAAUCCUCAACAGAGAAAGUUAUACUCUCCUGAUUAGAAUCCAAAUUUAUAUCACCGAAAAUGUAACUUGUUGAGGAAGACAUGUAUGAAAGAUUUGUUUGGGUGAAGCACCGAUUUGUUUUAUUGUCAAUGUUUUCCGAAGAAAUGUAUCUUUGGGUUUGGUUAAUACUCUUCAGUUUACUUGGGUGGAUCAUAUGUUGAAUUGCAUGAUUAAAGUGGAUGACUCAUCAUAUCACUUGGUCUCUAGAAAAUUUGUCUUUAUACUGAAGCAACUUUUUUGUAGAAAGAAUAUAUUUAGAGACCAAAAUUGUGCUUAUCAUUAUUUUAAGACACGAAUUAAUAUGUUAUAUAGUUGUUGAAACCUACCAUCAAAUAAAUAAUAAAACUCGUACACCAAUUUAGGUUAAAGUGUCGUUGCUGGCUUAUACAAAUGACAAUAAUUUUAGAUUUUUAGUGAAUUGAUUUUGACUAAAACUUAGUGGAAGGUAAGUGUGAUUUAUCCAUGCUUGAACUUUUAUUGUAUAUUAGUGACAUAGGGGAUAUUUGUCCAUCAAUAUAAACAUGUAGAUAAAUAAUUGUACAUUCUUCCUUCAAAAAAAAAAAAUCUACAUUCUAUAAGCUUUUAGCUUUUAGGCUUCAUGAUAACUAACAGGAGGAACAAAAGUCAAUCCUAACAAAUGUAAGGAAGUGUUAGACAUGAGAAGUCUAAUCACUUUGAAGGAAGUUCAAAGAUUUAUCAUUCAAGGUGAAUACUAUUUUGAUCUCAGUUCCACUCUAGAUGUUCGACGAGUGACGUGGUACUACAGAAAAAUCACUUGGAGAAAGAUAUUUCUAUAAAUCUUAAGAACCAUAAGCUGUCUAUAAAUCUUUCACAAAGUUUGAUGAGAAAUACUCAGAGAGAUCAUUACGGUUCAAAGAUACAAAACUGAAAGAGAUACAAGCUUAUUUAUAGGAGGCAGGCAAACCGCUACACAAUGAUCUUGAAUAACAAAAAACCAAUUUCACUUAAACCAAACAUUUCUUGUAUGAAAUUUCUUUUGGAUAAAAUUCAUGUAGGUUGCAUCAAUUUGAGAAUGGGUCCCACCAAAAGUGCUGAAACCUACAUGAAUUUCAAUUAAUCCAACAAAAAUUGAGGGAUGGAAUGGGUGUUGCUAGUCUUUGUCUCAUUUCUAUGAAUGUGUUCUAGCACAUGUCCAAUAGGUGUGUCUCUCAGAGAUUAUUGCUUUGAAGAUCUGAAAGAAAAUUAAAGAUUGAAUGGCUUAGUAUGAGAAAAAACCAAAAACUUAUCAUAACAAAAUCUUCAGAAUCAAUCUUCUGAGAACCUAGAAGCAAAUAUACAGAUCAUUAAGAAAAUAAGGUGUGACGCGGUCGCAGGGAUUACAAUUUAAAACUUUGGUAAUAUGCCAAGGAUCCACACAUCUGCAAUGGAUAAUGAUUCUUUUUCUUCAAUGUUUAUUAGCAGGUUUUAAAAAGUCAAAUUUACUGCAGAAAAUGAUGAAAGUUCAAAUAAAUAAAAUCAACAUAAAGGUGCAUUACCUAAACAGUCAAAACCUGCGGUCGGCGAAUCCAGACCAGCUUUCGUAGGGAAGAAGUUGAACGAAACAAUGUGUGCAGUUGGCAGGAUGUUUGUAUCCUCGACAUCAAGGCCCCUCUUAAACAGUUCUGGAACCUACAGAAGACAGCAAAACCAAAUUCCACCAAUCAAAAAUAGAAAGGAAAAGAAUGACAAUUCUCAAUGAAAGAAUCUUGGCACACCAAUCAAAAGCAUGAUUGUCAAACAAAACAGUUCUUCCUUGUUAAUACAUAGUACAGCAUGAUGAUGCAGUUCUUUUCUCCCAGAAAACAUUUUAUAGUUUAUAUUUUUAGAAAAAAUUCACAAUUCCUUUAUUUUAUGAUGAAUAGUUGAAUACCAAGCUUUAUCCAAAUUGAAUGUUUAAUUUUAAAAGCAAUAAUUAAACAGUGAGAUAACUAACAAAUACAUUUUCUUCAUGAGGAAAUGCAGGAGAGGUAAACUAUACCGAAUACUUAAACUGAAUUCUUCUUGAAGCAUUUUGUCCAAAAUUGUCUGCAUUUUGAAUGCUUUCACUUAAAACAUGGCUGAUUUCCAUUUGCAAAUUCUGUUUAAGUAUACAAUUAAUUUAGUUGAUCAAUCAUCAAGUAUCCUGGUUUCCUUAUCUUAUUCCCCGUAGAGCAUUAGGAUCAGGGCUUCCCAAUCAAGCUCAUGUUGGACUUCUGUGAAACCAAAAUCCAAGCCAACUUGACUUUCCUAGGUACCACAUGCUUCAGCGAUAAGAGCAUUAGUAGCCAACACCAAUAAAACCUGCAAUUCACAGUCGGAAGCUAUAAAUCAUCAAUCAGCCACAACUAGCAGCACCGCUACAAGGUCUAUAGGCACCAUAAGAAUCAAAUUCAUAAAUCCCCAAAAUGAUCUUUAAAAUUGAAGAAAUAAGGAAAAUUCACAGAAGCUCUCAAUAGAUUGUCUGUCAUUUUAGUCCACAAAGCUAUCCUUUGAAUUUCUCUUAUUUCUGGAGACUAAGCUAACAGCGCAGAACAAUUGCAGGACCAAACUGGCAAUUAACUCAAAUUAAAUUUUACCUGGCAAUUAUUUUACGUCUUUCAUUUUCAGUCAAGCUUUCUUCUUCUCUGUUUUUGUUUAAAAUGACCUGCGGGCUCUACUUGAAGAGUGAACCUCUUGGCAGCACAUUCAUUUUCAUCACCACUACCAUCUUGUGCAUGACAUUGCCCCAAAUUUUCACCAAUUGGUUCAUCAUAUAUGAGAUAAACUGCUGUCUUCAUCACAAUGAAACUGUUCCCAAAAACAACAAUCUCGACUUUGUCACCAGGUUCCAUAUUUGAUACUACUCUCUGCCACUCCUCAUUUUCAAAGGAGGCGAAUGCCUCUCUCUUAUAGAGCUGAAUGGUAGUCUUCGUGUGAUUUAUCACCAACACAUUUUUUAGGCCAUCUCACCAAAAUGUGCACUUAGAAGACU